GCAAGGAGAAGCUGGGUACUGCAGCUUCAACUAGAGAAAGCCUACUCACAGCAAUGAAGGCCCAGCAUAACCAAAACAAACAAGCUUUAAAAAAGACAUAGAAUGCUGACAAACUUACUAACAUACAACUGAUUGAUUUUUAAUGUCCCAAAGAUGCUGAAAUACACAAGUAAAAGAAAAUGGGAGUAUCAUCCCAGAAUGUGUCAAAAGGCAACUCUUUGGAGUAGGAAAUGGCCACCCUGGCAGGCUACCAUGGGGUCGUAAAUAGUCUGACACGACUGAGCAACUGAACAACAACCUUCACACACAACAGAGUGAGCUCUAAAAAACAAAUCUAAACCUCUUUCCUCCUACAGAUUCUUCAGUGACUUCCAGUAGCUUUUGGAAUAAUGUCCUAAAUCCAUAGACCUUGUAGAAAGCAGCCUGUAGCUGGCAUCAACCCUCUUUGUUCCCUGUGUCCCAGUCACACUGGCUGGUUUUCUGUUCAGUAAAUAUCUUCCUGCCUCAGAGCCAGCAAUCAGGCUGUUCUCUGUCCUUGCAACACUCUUCCAUUUCCCACCAUUUCAGUACUAAGUGUUUCUUCCUCACGGAGACCUCGUCUGAUUUCUUGAUGUAGGUCAAGACUUUCUGAUAAGUCUUCUCUUAGCACCAGGCCUGGUUCAGAGCACAUAUAACAAUAGUAAUGUUAAAAUUAUGAAUGUAAUUGGCUGACUGGCUGCUAGAUUGUAAGCUCCAUCACCUUCACUGCUGUAUUUCCAGUUUGGGACACAGAGUUGCUGCUCAGUUAAAUUUUGAUUGCAUGAAAGAAAAAAAUAAAGACAACUCUUCUUGUUUCAAUCAGUUUGUUUCCAUGUGCAUGCAUGAGUGCAUGGAUAUGCAACUCUGGUUUUAUUAUAAAACAUCAUCUCAUAAAUAUGCUUUAUGCUUUGUAGGAGUUGCACUUGUAUCUUAAAGUGUAUUCCAUGACCUUAAGUGUUUCCUACCUCAUCAUAUGAAUGAUGUAAAUAGUAGUAAGAUUAUUGACAUUGUGUGGAUUAGCGGGGAGAGGGGGUGAUUCUGUAUAGUGACUGUUUUGCUGUUCCAUUGCAUUUCAGCUUCCUUGAACUUGUUUCCUGUAUUCUCUGGGAACUCUCUGUGGAUGGUCUUUUAUGUUGUGUUACUUAACUCUGAUUCCUUCGGUUCAGUUGUCUCUCCCAACCACCUGAACUCAGGUGCUGUUGCCUCAUUUCUUAACUAUUUAAUAUGAGUGAUAUCUUAGAGUGACAGAGUUUUCUCCCCAAGGUGGACACAGAUCUUUUUCUAACGUGCUGUUAUGUUGAUGACAAGUUCAUAUGGGUAAAGUCUUUAGAGUCACGCUUAGUGUGUAUGAAGUGUUGAGCCACCUCUUGUCAAUGUGAUGAUGACAUCCUCAUCACAAUCUGUGUUCUUUUAAAGCCACUGUGGACUUUGUCAUCUCUGAAGACACCAGUCUUGCUGUAGCUCAUCUCGACAGUGAUGUCACUCAGUGUGUCAAACGUAACACUUUUGCAUAGACAACCCACUGUUGAUUGUAAUUUGUUUAUUUUUCAUGUCUUGUCCACACAUAUGACAAAUUCAUGUUGAUUGGAGGAUAUCAUCAUCUUAUGAAAAAACAGGAAAUUAAAUUAGAGACCACCAGUUUGCUCCAAAUAGAUUUGUAUGAAUCUUAUCAGAAUAUUACUUCAGCUGAAUUGACCUUACCUCGCUUCUUCUCCUUUUCUGUGAAAAUAAGAACCCUCCUCAGGGCCCGUUGGUGAAAUGUGUUUUCAUUUCAGGCACAGUUGACCUUCAAGGAUGUGUUCAUAGAUUUCACUCCUGAUGAGUGGGAAUGCCUGGACCCUGCCCAGAGGACCUUGUACAAGGACGUGAUGGUGGAGACCCUCAGGAACCUGCUGUCUCUGGGUAUGUCUUAUACACAUAAAAGCCAGAAAUUACCGACAAAAGCAAGCAGUGAUAAAGGAGAAGUAUUUCACACAGUGAUGUUGGGAAGACCUGAAAGCCAUGAAAUCACAGAUUUUUUCCUCAGAGAGGUCCAGGAGCAUUUGCAUGAAUUUGAGUGUCAGGGGAGAGAUGAUGAAAGAAAUUACAAAGGAAUGUCUAUAACUAUAACCCAGAACAAAAAUCUCACUAAUGAAAGUGAUCGGCACAGUAGAAUUGCAGUGGGAGAUAAGCCUGUUGAAAAUAGGCAUGGAUCAGACUUUCAAGAUGAACUGCAGAUACUUCAACCUGAAGGGAAAACAUUUGAAUGUAUUCAAGCUGUGAGGAGUAUCAACAGUACCACCUCAGAUUUACGACUUCAGAGAACUCCUAGUUUCUGCACCAGCAUUUCUAAUAUAUGUGAGAGUGCUGUUAUGCACCCUUCAGUACUGGCACAAGAUCAGGAAGCACAGAGGGGAAAACCGUACAAAUGUACUGAGUGUGCCAUGACCUUUGUUCAGGACUUGGAACUCACUGGACAUCAAAGGAUCCAUAGAGGAGAGAAACCAUAUAAAUGUGAUGUAUGUGGAAAGGCCUUGAGUCAAAAUGCAAGACUUAUAGGUCAUCAGAGAAUUCAUACUGAAGAGAAACCAUAUAAAUAUUAUGAAUAUAGCAAAGCUUUUAGUGCACAUUCAAUCUUUACUGACCAUCAGGCAGUUCAUACAGGAGAGAAACCAUAUAAAUGUAGUUUAUGUGGCAAAGCCUUCAGUCACAGGUCUUAUUUUACAGUUCACUGGAGAAUUCAUACUGGACACAAACCUUACAUGUGUAAUGAGUGUGGGAAAGCUUUUAGUGCACAUUCAGACUUAACUAGACAUCAAGCAGUUCAUACAGGAGAGAAACCAUAUAAAUGUGACAUAUGUGGAAAAGCCUUUAGUCAAAACGCAAGACUUACAGUUCAUAGGAGAAUUCAUACUGGAGAGAAACCGUAUAAAUGUGAUAUAUGUGGCCGGUGCUUUACUCGAAAUGCACACCUUGGGAUUCAUCGAAGAAUUCAUACUGGAGAGAAACCAUAUAAAUGUGAUGAGUGUGGAAAAGCUUUUAGUGCCCAUUCAGACUUAAGUAAACAUCAAGCACUUCAUACAGGAGAGAAACCAUAUAAAUGUAAUUUAUGUGGCAGAGCCUUCAGUCUCAGGUCUUAUUUUACACUCCAUUGGAGAAUUCAUACUGGAGAGAAACCAUAUCAGUGUGAUGUAUGUGGCCAGUGCUUUAGUCGAAAUUCAUACCUUAGGAAUCAUCGGAGAAUUCAUACUGGGGAGAAACCUUACAAAUGUAAUGAGUGUGGCAAAGCCUUCAGUCAGAGUUCAGGCCUUAUAACUCAUCAGAGAAUUCAUACUUUAGAGAAACCGUAUAAAUGUGAUGACUGUGGCAAAAUUUUUAGUGCACAUCCAGACUUGACUAAACAUCAAGCAGUUCACAAAGGAGAGAAUCCAUAUAAAUGUAAUUUAUGUGGCAAAGCCUUUAGGUACAGGGCUUCCUUUGCAGUUCAUCACAGAACUCAUACUGGAGAGAAACCAUACAAAUGUGAUGAGUGUGGCAAAGCUUAUAGUGCACGUUCAACCUUUAUUUACCAUCAAGCAAUACAUACAGGAGAGAAACCAUAUAAAUGUAAUUUGUGUGGCACAGCCUUCAGGUACAGGACUGACUUUUCAGUUCAUCAAAUAAUUCAUAAUGGAGAGUAACCUUACAAAUAUCCUGAGUGUGGCAAAGUCUUUAGUCAGAGUUUAGUCCUCAUAGUCAAUCAGAGAGUUCAUACAAUAGAGAAAUCAUGUAAAUAUGAUAUGUGUGGUCGGUGCCUUACUCAAAUUGCACACCUUGGAAUUCAUUGGAGAAUUAAUAACUGGAGAAAAAUCUCACAAAUGUAAUCAGUGGCAAAAUCUUUAGUGCAUGUUCAGCCUUAACUGACCAUUAGGCAGUUCAUAAAGGAGAGAAACCAUAG